rnacentral:rRNA from 1 species
AUGGCUAGAAGGAGGUACGACUCCGAGUGGGAGGAAAUGAAGCUUAUCAAUGGCUACGCCAUGCUUCUGGCGUACAUGUGGUUCGCCUUCAGAGGCAUAGGGUACCUGGUGGUCACAUGGACCACGGUGGUUCUUCUCGGCGGAUUCGUCUCCAACAUCGACAAGGACGAUUUCUGGCGUCUCACGCUGAUUACCCUUGUGCAGAUUCUCUGCAUCAAUGUUUCAUUCGGUGAAAGGAUGACUUCUGCUGCUAAUCUGGUCUGGAGCCUGAGGGCGGUGAAAAUUUUAGUGACGCCCAACCGGCAGCUGGCUGAUAAUGCAUAUGGUAAUCGCCAGGUACUGGCAGUCGUUAGGAAAGUUAUUGCAGCGGUGGUAGUGCUGGUUCACGCUGUGGUAUUGUCCUUCUACCUGAAGUUUCUGCAGUUGCUCAUGAUCUGUGGGCUGUUCAUCACCAUCUGGAUAUCGGUACGCGGUCUCAUGGACCACGACCAUUACAGCGACAAGCCUGAGGAGAGAACAAACAUGGAUCCAGCGCAUACUAUCUUUUACACCAUGUGUGUGGUCCAGGGUGCAUUCUUCCUUUAUAGAAACAUCUUGUUGCUUUGGUUGAGGAGGGUAGUGAAACAAGUGAGUGUCACACCCGCACCUACAAGUGCCAGGGUGGACUGCAUCGACGAAUAG